GAUGAACGCUGGCGGCGUGCCUAAUACAUGCAAGUCGAGCGAACAGACGAGGAGCUUGCUCCUCUGACGUUAGCGGCGGACGGGUGAGUAACACGUGGAUAACCUACCUAUAAGACUGGGAUAACUUCGGGAAGCCGGAGCUAAUACCGGAUAAUAUAUUGAACCGCAUGGUUCAAUAGUGAAAGACGGUUUUGCUGUCACUUAUAGAUGGAUCCGCGCCGCAUUAGCUAGUUGGUAAGGUAACGGCUUACCAAGGCAACGAUGCGUAGCCGACCUGAGAGGGUGAUCGGCCACACUGGAACUGAGACACGGUCCAGACUCCUACGGGAGGCAGCAGUAGGGAAUCUUCCGCAAUGGGCGAAAGCCUGGCGGAGCAACGCCGCGUGAGUGAUGAAGGUCUUCGGAUCGUAAAACUCUGUUAUUAGGGAAGAACAAAUGUGUAAGUAACUAUGCACGUCUUGACGGUACCUAAUCAGAAAGCCACGGCUAACUACGUG
rnacentral:rRNA from 1 species